UUCCCAGACUCCUACGGGAGGCAGCAGUGGGGGAUAUUGCACAAUGGGGGAAACCCUGAUGCAGCGACGCCGCGUGUGGGAAGACGGUCCUCUGGAUUGUAAACCACUGUCCCCAGGGACGAAAAUGACGGUACCUGACUAAGAAGCCCCGGCUAACUACGUGCCAGCAGCCGCGGUAAUACGUAGGGGGCAAGCGUUAUCCGGAUUUACUGGGUGUAAAGGGAGCGUAGACGGCAUGGCAAGUCAGAUGUGAAAGCCCGGGGCUCAACCCCGGGACUGCAUUUGAAACUGUCAGGCUGGAGUGCAGGAGAGGUAAGUGGAAUUCCUAGUGUAGCGGUGAAAUGCGUAGAUAUUAGGAGGAACAUCAGUGGCGAAGGCGGCUUACUGGACUUUAACUGACGUUGAGGCUCGAAAGCGUGGGGAGCAAACAGGAUUAGAUACCCCGGUA
rnacentral:rRNA from 1 species